GAUGAAGAACGUAGCGAAAUGCGAUAAGUAAUGUGAAUUGCAGAAUUCAGUGAAUCAUCGAAUCUUUGAACGCACCUUGCGCCCUUUGGCCAUUCCGAAGGGCAUGCCUGUUUGAGUAUCAUGAACACCUCAACUCUUUAUGGUUUUCCAUGAUGAGCUUGGACUCUGGGGGUUUUGCUGGCUCACAGUCGGCUCCUCUAAAAUGAAUCAGCUUACCAGUGUUUGGUGGGUAUCAUGGGUGUGAUAACUAUCUACGCUUGUGGUUUUUCCACCAGGUAACCUUCAGCAGUGGAGGUUCGCUGGAGCUCAUAGAUUUCUCUCCUCAGUGAGGACAGCCCUUUGAAUGUUUGAUCUCAAAUCAGGUAGGACUACCCGCUGAACUUAAGCAUAUCAAUAAGCGGAGGA
rnacentral:misc_RNA from 1 species